CAGCAGCCGCGGUAAAACGGAGGGGGCUAGCGUUGUUCGGAAUUACUGGGCGUAAAGCGCACGUAGGCGGCUUGGUAAGUUAGAGGUGAAAGCCUGGAGCUCAACUCCAGAAUUGCCUUUAAGACUGCCGAGCUAGCAGGUGAGAGAGGUAAGUGGAAUUCCGAGUGUAGAGGUGAAAUUUGUAGAUAUUCGGAAGAACACCAGUGGCGAAGGCGGCUUACUGGCUCAUACUGGACGCUGAGGUGCGAAAGCGUGGGGAGCAAACAGGAUUAGAUACCCCAGUAGUCCCUGUCUCUUAUAC
rnacentral:rRNA from 1 species